rnacentral:rRNA from 1 species
AACGAACGCUGGCGGCAUGCCUAACACAUGCAAGUCGAACGAGACCUUCGGGUCUAGUGGCGCACGGGUGCGUAACGCGUGGGAAUCUGCCCUUGGGUUCGGAAUAACUCAGAGAAAUUUGAGCUAAUACCGGAUGAUGACGUAAGUCCAAAGAUUUAUCGCCCAAGGAUGAGCCCGCGUAAGAUUAGGUAGUUGGUGGGGUAAAAGCCUACCAAGCCGACGAUCUUUAGCUGGUCUGAGAGGAUGAUCAGCCACACUGGGACUGAGACACGGCCCAGACUCCUACGGGAGGCAGCAGUGGGGAAUAUUGGACAAUGGGCGAAAGCCUGAUCCAGCAAUGCCGCGUGAGUGAUGAAGGCCCUAGGGUUGUAAAGCUCUUUUACCCGGGAUGAUAAUGACAGUACCGGGAGAAUAAGCCCCGGCUAACUCCGUGCCAGCCGCCGCGGUAA